UGGGGAAUAUUGGACAAUGGGCGCAAGCCUGAUCCAGCCAUGCCGCGUGAGUGAAGAAGGCCCUAGGGUUGUAAAGCUCUUUCACCGGUGAAGAUAAUGACGGUAACCGGAGAAGAAGCCCCGGCUAACUUCGUGCCAGCAGCCGCGGUAAUACGAAGGGGGCUAGCGUUGUUCGGAAUUACUGGGCGUAAAGCGCGCGUAGGCGGAUACUUAAGUCAGGGGUGAAAUCCCGAGGCUCAACCUCGGAACUGCCUUUGAUACUGGGUGUCUUGAGUUCGAGAGAGGUAAGUGGAAUUCCGAGUGUAGAGGUGAAAUUCGUAGAUAUUCGGAGGAACACCAGAGGCGAAGGCGGCUUACUGGCUCGAUACUGACGCUGAGGCGCGAAAGCGUGGGGAGCAAACAGGAUUAGAUACCCCCGUAGUCC
rnacentral:rRNA from 1 species